rnacentral:rRNA from 1 species
UAUGGUAAUUGCCAGCCGCCGCGGUAAUACGUAGGUGGCAAGCGUUGUCCGGAAUUAUUGGGCGUAAAGCGCGCGCAGGCGGCCGUGCAAGUCCAUCUUAAAAGCGUGGGGCUUAACCCCAUGAGGGGAUGGAAACUGCAUGGCUGGAGUGUCGGAGGGGAAAGUGGAAUUCCUAGUGUAGCGGUGAAAUGCGUAGAGAUUAGGAAGAACACCGGUGGCGAAGGCGACUUUCUAGACGACAACUGACGCUGAGGCGCGAAAGCGUGGGGAGCAAACAGG